rnacentral:rRNA from 1 species
UACGUAGGGGGCAAGCGUUGUCCGGAAUCAUUGGGCGUAAAGAGCGUGUAGGCGGCCCGGUAAGUCCGCUGUGAAAGUCCAGGGCUCAACCCUGGGAUGCCGGUGGAUACUGUCGGGCUCGAGUCCGGAAGAGGAGUGUGGAAUUCCUGGUGUAGCGGUGAAAUGCGUAGAUAUCAGGAGGAACACCUGUGGCGAAAGCGGCGCACUGGACCACAACUGACGCUGAGGAGCGAAAGCGUGGGGAGCGAACAGG